rnacentral:rRNA from 1 species
CCUACGGGAGGCAGCAGUGAGGAAUAUUGGUCAAUGGACGAGAGUCUGAACCAGCCAAGUAGCGUGAAGGAUGACUGCCCUAUGGGUUGUAAACUUCUUUUAUAUGGGAAUAAAAUGUUCCAUGUGUGGGAUUUUGUAUGUACCAUAUGAAUAAGGAUCGGCUAACUCCGUGCCAGCAGCCGCGGUAAUACGGAGGAUCCGAGCGUUAUCCGGAUUUAUUGGGUUUAAAGGGAGCGUAGGUGGAUUGUUAAGUCAGUUGUGAAAGUUUGCGGCUCAACCGUAAAAUUGCAGUUGAAACUGGCAGUCUUGAGUACAGUAGAGGUGAGCGGAAUUCGUGGUGUAGCGGUGAAAUGCUUAGAUAUCACGAAGAACUCCGGUUGCGAAGGCAGUUCACUGGACUGCAACUGACACUGAGGCUCGAAAGUGUGGGUAUCAAACAGGAUUAGAUACCCGGGUAGUC